AAAUAAUUCAGUCUCCUCAUGGCCAAAAGAUUUCCUCUUUGUUUCAAGCUCUGCUCUUUUUGAAGAGCAAGAAAUCACAGCAACCUUUCAGGUGUUCCAUGUCCUGGAUUUCUCUGUAGCAGCUUCCAAGAGGACUUCUGCAGGGCUCUUAACCUGUUUUAUGUGAAGCAUCAAGCAAGGUUUCCAUUAAGACAGCGGUCUUGAAUCCAAGCUGCCUUCUGUGAGCUGAGGGAUGAACCUGUCUGGGAUUCGGUUUCUAGGAAAUGUUGCAAGUUUCCAGGCAAAAAGGAUUGGCUUCUGCUCUCCGAGCACAGACCUGAGUGUGGUGGACUUCAGAAAGAAUGAGUCUGCAACUCGGAGCUCUUCUGCAAGCCUUCACUGCUCUGCUGGCCAAGUCACCAUAACAUUGGCAUCUCCAAACUGCAGGAUCCUCCUCUUCCCAGUGCCCAUAUGGAUCUGCCUAACGCCCGACUCCUCACCUCCUCCUGCAGAGCACGGGCUGAUCAUAAAGUAAAAUAACAACAAAAUAAAAUCCAUGGGUCAAACUCUUUCCAGCCAGGAAGCCCCAUUUUCUCAAAGCAGGAGGCUUCCAUGGGAAUGCUCUGCCUCUGUUAGGGCCUGCCUGCAGAGAUGCUGAGCAAGAAGCUUUCAUCUGUGCAAAAUCAAGGGCUCAUUGACAAAAGGGUGCAUUCCUCCCACAGAACCAUCUCUUCUGUCUAAGCAACCACACAGCCACCUAUGGAAAAGGGAACGGAGGCCAAAUAGUAAAUCUGACAAAUGUCCACUAUGUACUAGAUUUUCUGGGCAAGGCUUUAAAACAAAGCAUUUUUGUUCUCCAUACCCCCAGCUCCCAGCACAUGACCAGGGCUGUAAAUUACUGUAGAG
ensembl:lncRNA